GGACCCGCGGCGCAUUAGCUAGUUGGUGAGGUAACGGCUCACCAAGGCGACGAUGCGUAGCCGACUUGAGAGGGUGAUCGGCCACACUGGGACUGAGACACGGCCCAGACUCCUACGGGAGGCAGCAGUAGGGAAUCUUCCGCAAUGGACGAAAGUCUGACGGAGCAACGCCGCGUGAGUGAUGAAGGUUUUCGGAUCGUAAAACUCUGUUGUUAGGGAAGAACAAGUAUCGUUCGAAUAGGGCGGUACCUUGACGGUACCUAACCAGAAAGCCACGGCUAACUACGUGCCAGCAGCCGCGGUAAUACGUAGGUGGCAAGCGUUGUCCGGAAUUAUUGGGCGUAAAGCGCGCGCAGGCGGUUUCUUAAGUCUGAUGUGAAAUCUUGCGGCUCAACCGCAAGCGGCCAUUGGAAACUGGGAGACUUGAGUGCAGAAGAGGAGAGUGGAAUUCCACGUGUAGCGGUGAAAUGCGUAGAGAUGUGGAGGAACACCAGUGGCGAAGGCGACUCUCUGGUCUGUAACUGACGCUGAGGCGCGAAAGCGUGGGGAGCGAACAGGAUUAGAUACCCUGGUAGUCCACGCCGUAAACGAUGAGUGCUAAGUGUUAGAGGGUUUCCGCCCUU
rnacentral:rRNA from 1 species